AGUGCAACCUUAAUGGUAUGCU
rnacentral:snRNA from 1 species